rnacentral:rRNA from 1 species
UACGUAGGGUGCGAGCGUUGUCCGGAAUUAUUGGGCGUAAAGAGCUCGUAGGCGGUUUGUUGCGUCGGCCGUGAAAACCUGCAGCUUAACUGUGGGCCUGCGGCCGAUACGGGCAGACUUGAGUUCGGUAGGGGAGACUGGAAUUCCUGGUGUAGCGGUGAAAUGCGCAGAUAUCAGGAGGAACACCAAUGGCGAAGGCAGCUCGCUGGAACGGUACUGACGCUGAGGCGCGAAAGCGUGGGGAGCGAACAGG